rfam:Glycine soja cultivar W05 scaffold2990_27, whole genome shotgun sequence.
UUCUUAUUGGAUAACGACUCUCACGUGCCAUGUUAUGAUUAUUAGAUGCCAACUUCAUGAAAAAUGAGAUGCAUUGUUGUUUUCAUUGACCAUUCAAAAUAUGACACGUGACAGUCGUCAUCC